UUUAAGAACUGGUUAAACGAUAAGAAUUUCAGAUCUGAUCUCAGGCUGGAGAGACUUGUUUCUGGACAGAGUCAAGGAGUGAAGGAGUGAAGUGAGCCCCACCCUCAGUGAGAGAGCACUGUGCUACAUGGAUACCAGAAAUAUUAUAUCAUUGGAGAUAUCAAUAUACAUGAUAAGUAACUAAGAGGAAAUAUGACACUAAAGUAUUUUAAACGAAGAAAUGACAUGCUUGUAUAUGCAUUUUAGGAAGAUCUAUCUGGCCUCUGUAGAAGACACUUUGGAGGAUACUAAAAGUAGAGACAGUCAAAGCAGCUAAGAAGGUAAGAGUCUUAAAGAAAUGAUUUUAAGUCAGGCAGUAGCUGUCACAGAAGACAUAGAGAUAAAGAAGUUUGAGUAGAAUAUACAAAUUUUGCACAAUACGUUUAUCUGCAAACAGUUAUAAAGGCAGUGGUGAGGGAAAGAAGGAAGCUCAAGAUGUCUGUCUUAACUGACUUGGCUAAGGAUAGCCUUAUCCAAAAAAAAAAAAAUUCAUAGGAAGCAAGAAGCAAAAGAGUUAUGGCAGGAAAACAACAGGUCAAGCUUGGACAUGAGUAGCCUGAGAGGAAGAUGUCCUGUAGGUGUUUGCAGUUGGAGAGAAUUUUAAUCUGGAGAUAGGAUUUAAGAGUGACUGGACACAGACAGCGGAAGUCUGGAGACUCAGAAAGGUAAGAGAGUUAAAGGAGGUGUAGGAUGAGAAAUUACCCAAUGGGUAAAAUGCACACUAUUCAGAUGAUGGUUAUACUGAAAGCCCAGACUGCACUCCCAUGUAACAAAACUGUAUUUGUACUUCCUAAAUCUAUAAGAAGUAUUUUUUUAAUUUGCACAGAUAUUGUUUUAAAAAAAAGAGUGACUGGCAUUUAUAUAAUAGUGAAUGCUGUAACUGUGAUGGUGACUACUCAGAGAAAGACUAAAAUGUAUAUUGAAAACAGUAGAAGCUGAAAUUUGUUAUUAGAAUAUAUUUUGGGAUCACUUUGAGAAUCAGAAGCAAGCCAUGGACUCACUCCUAGAAACAUGCGUGGGCACAUGUGAAACCAUUUUCAGACACAAUUUCAGAGAGCCUGUGCCUUCCAUAAAGUCUCUCCAAUAGACCCUUUAAGGAUUGGAGAGAUUAGAAAACCCUGAUUCAAAGGAUAAACGAGAGAAAAAUAACAAAUCAAAGAUAGGAAAAGGAAGUGAAGCGUGGAUAGAGACAAAAUCUGAAGGCCAGGGUCCUGAGCUAGAGCUCACUAGGUGCUAAAGUCCUACUUAAAGUUGAAACGUUUAGAAUAGACCUUCAGUACCAAAACAGUGUUGAGGGCAAAGACCUGGAGACAAAAGAAAAGAGACAGUGAAAGACAAACAGUAGUCCCCAAUUAUCUGCAGGGGAUAUGAUCCAAGACCUUGAGUAGGUGCCUGAAACAUAGUACAUAUAACCCUGAACCCUAUAUAUACUGUUGUUUCUAUCCAUUCAUACCUAUGAUAAAGUUUAAUUUAUAAAUUAAGCACAGUAAUAACAUAUUAACAAUAACUAAUAAAAUGGAGCAACGAUAACAACAUACUUUAAUAAAAACUCUUUCAAAAUAUCUUAAUAUUCUCAGACCCUGAUUGCCCAUAGGAACUGAAACUGCAGAAAGUGAAACUAUGGAUGAAGGCGGACACCUGUAUGACUUUCAGCCAGCAACCGUGUCUCAGGCCAUCGCAGGCAUGCAGGCUCUCAUCUCGCCUCACUGGAAUGUGGGUGUGAGUGACUUUACCGCCUCAUUUCUCAGCACAGGUUCAGGACCCAGAUGUGAAACCAACCCGCAGAAGCCACAUGUCAGUAACUGUGGGUCCCUUUAGGGGAAGGCAGAAGCUAGGAGCAGGGAUUUGGUGAAGGUUUUGCAAAAUCAUCAUCAACAGUCAAAAUUACCAGGGAAUCCUGUGAAAUGCUGAAAGUGUGACAGAGAAGCUGGCAAAACUUAUUAUAUUAGUACCCAAAGAGUAAUGCAAUCUCCUACUUUCUUAGAGGGCUUCUUGUUCACUAGCACUAGUACUCAGUGCCUCGAAUAGUAUCUGGCAAACAAUUACAAUAAAUACAUGUCACAGGAAUGAAUAAAAGCAACUCUGUGAAGCACCCAAGAAUUUCUUCUCUUCAGGCUUAUAAAUAAUAUCCUGCUCUAAAACAUGUCAGCUGCUCCAGUGAUCAGCCUUGGGCCUUUCUAAGAAAAUACUGAGUCUUUAUUUCUAAUUAAUUCAUUUUAUUAUUUUUAGUUCACCCCAAAUGUGAGACAUUUGGAAAACUCAGAUAUAAUGUAAAGUAUUUUAUUAUCAUUUUCUAGUUCUCUCUGGCGCCAGGCAAAUUUGGCUAUAAACAAAAGCUAAUAAACCCUGAUUUAAGGGCCAUAAUGCCUCUAGUGUGUGUACUAGGAGUACAACAAGAUGAUGCAAUACCACAAGGCCCUGUUUUAGUUAAAAGUCACAUUAAUGACUUCAUCCUUCAUAGUUGCCCAAAGAACCCUGAGAAAGAAACCUUCAACUCUUACAUCGUUUUCUGUCUUAAGGGUAAUGAACCAUAUGUGUAGACAGCUGCACUGUCUGUAAACUAUGGUCAUUAAUUACACAGGAGACAGGACACUUCCAGGGAGAGGCGGGUGGAAAAAGAAGGGUGAGACUUUGAAAAGUCAUGGCGAUUAUUAAUAACAGAAAGGGCAACGAAAAGGGUAAGAUGCCUGUCCUCCAUAUUUCAAAUACAUUACAUUGCCCAUAGCAAUGAAGUAGCAGAAAGGUCUGGAUAGGAUGGAGAAUGUUUUCGACCUGCAUCUGAGGCCAGAGUUAAACAAAACAGGGUACCACAGGCAAGGAUACAUGUAGAUUCACAUACAGAAUUUCAAAGACUAUGCCAAGUUGGUGAACCAUUUUCCUAAGGAAUAAGAAGUCAACUUAGUCUAAAGGAGAUACUGAAUUACAGUACAGAAUGUAAACCAAAGAACACAAGGAGAGAACAUCAGAUUUGAGCUUUCCCCCGAGUUUCAGGUAUGAAUCUCUAAGAUAUCAGAUGCUUAGAUAAUUCAGGCUAAAAUUAUGGGACAAGAGUCCAAGCUGGGUUACAGCAAGCAAGAAUAAAGGCUAUGACUAACACAGAUUUUCACAGCUUAAAGGCCAGAUCCAGCUAGAGAGGUGGCUCCAGCCCAUAGAGGCAUGGUGUGCCUCCUGAUAUCCUUCCUCACUUUACGGGCCACAUGUGGGACACAUCUCUAAAAACAUAAAUGUAGAUACAGAGAAUACAAGAAACAAAUGUAAGCACUUCCAUUUCUUAAACUUUUUGCAAUCAUCAUAAAUUAUUCACUAUACUAAGGCCAACAAAGGCCAGUGUCUGUACCAGCACAUACGUACCCAUAGACAGGAACUCUACUCAACACUGUAUUUUCAGUACCUCACAUACUGGCCAAAACAGGCUCAAUGGGAAUUUCUUAAAUAAAUUAAGUCAUAUAUUUAUUGAAAAAUGGGAGUAACCUCUCUACAAAAGAAUCCAGAAACGUACUGAACAGAGAACAACAAACUGAAAAGUCUGACUGAUAAAAGCAUGAUCUUUGUUUCUGCUGUGUGAAAUGGUGAUCACAACUAAGUGUAAGUAUAAAGAAAAUCUGGGAUUGAAAGGCCAGAUAUAUUGACAAAAGGGAAGGAGAGUUAAAGAACCAUUGAAGAGUUAUGUACAGUAGAGUGAUAUGAUCAAGUUGACAUAUGAUAAAGUCCCUCUGGAAGUUAAAUGGCAAGUGGGUUAGUGGGUAGAGUAAAUUACAGUGGAAAGACCAGGAAGACACUGUUCUUUUCAUCUAGACAGAAUAUAACAAGCACAUGAAUUAGGACUGUGAAAAUAGAGGGGAUGGGACAGAUAUUAAUAGGGUAGUACUGAUGUGACUUUGUGACUCUUGGAUAUUAGGAAGGAAAAAAAGAAAAAAAAAUCUGGGAUUGCCUCCAAAGCACUAACUUCAGAGCUACAAAAGUUAUUACAUUAUCAAUAAAUCUUUCAUGGAUUAAUAAAUACAACAUGUGUAAUCUUUAAAUUCUUAUUAUUUAUAAAAA
rnacentral:lncRNA from 1 species